GACAAAUUACCAAAUAUGCCAUUUGUCCAAAUUAACAACGCCUGAAGGCUAGUAGUCGUUUUUAGCCAAGCACAUUUCAUUUGUCGAAGCCGCACAAGGGUUUUUCCUUCCUCUGUUUCCUCCUCAGGGUUUUCAGGCUAUUGAAGAUGUCAAGGGUGUACGUUGGGAAUUUGGAUCCGCGAGUCACUGAGCGGGAACUUGAAGAUGAAUUCCGUGUCUUUGGAGUUAUAAGAAGUGUUUGGGUUGCAAGAAGGCCCCCUGGCUAUGCAUUUAUAGAUUUUGAUGACAGGAGAGAUGCACAAGAUGCAAUUCGUGAACUAGAUGGUAAGAAUGGAUGGAGAGUUGAACUUUCUCAUAAUUCUAGAGGUGGAGGAGGUGGUGGACGUGGAGGGGGUCGUGGUCGGUCUGGGGGUUCUGACUUGAAGUGUUACGAGUGUGGUGAGCCUGGUCAUUUUGCUCGUGAGUGCCGGCUUCGUGGAGGAUCAGGAAGGCGUCGCAGCCGCAGCCCUCCUCCCAGAUAUCGGAGGAGCCCUAGUUAUGGGCGAAGGAGUUACAGUCCUCGUGCGCGAUCCCCUAGGCGCCGCAGUUUGUCUCCUCGUGGUCGCAGCUACAGCAGGUCACCUUAUCGUGGGCGAGAUGAGGUGCCUUAUGCUAAUGGAAAUGGUCUCAGAGAUCGUCGCAGAAGCAGGAGCUGAGUGUAGAAAAUUCUGUAUUUGACUCAAUCCGGAAGUUUUUGCAAUAGUGUGUUUAAUAUGCAUGGAAUUAGUUACAACUCUGUAAUCGGGGUGACGUCCUCGGCUUCAACUCGUGGAUUUGGUUAAGUUUCUUUCGUACUUCAGUAUCAAGUUGGUGUCUACGUGGUUCUGCUUCAUUGGUUUUCUGCUUCUACACUCCCUGUUGGUUUCCUUCUUCACUGCCCUGCGGUGGGAUCUCCAAUUUGAAUGAUUGUGGAUCCCAACUGGCUGCGUUGCUAGAUGCUUCUGUUUCAUUGAUUCUGCGGCUAUGACGCCUCACCUCACUUGUAGUGGUAGAUCUUUAUAUUCUUUUAUGACAAGCGGCAUCAAAUACUUUUGGCAGGUAAUCUGUUCAAGAAAAGAUGGGGUCUUUUUUCUGAACUAAUAUUAAAAUAUUAUCUUAAUUGGGUUUAUAGGCUUUUCGAGUAACACCUAAGUUUGAAUCAUGAAAUAUGAUAUCCAUGUAGAAAACAGCCCCCUUUAGCUAACUAAAUAGAGCCUGAACUAGUUCUCUUUUUACCUGCUAAUUUUUUUUUGAAAUUCAUUUUUUUUUUGGGGUUCUGCAGCUGUCUAGCUAGUUUGUUAUCCUAACUAACUGCAGGAAAAAAUUAGCUUGUUUACUUGUUACUGCAAGCUUUCACUUUUUUGUGAUAAGAUCAGAUUACCCUCCUUGACCCCCCUUCAGCCAAACUUUGAGCACCUAAAUCUUUUGAUGAGAAGGCCUUUCUUGAAAUGGUCAUGUUAUUGUUUAAGUUAAACAUUGGAGUUUACUUGAAACUGUCUUCUGGACACUGGUCCAAAUAUGUCAUCCAAGAAUUAUUGGAUUUUCCUUCAAAAUUAUCAUGCUUUGUAUUAGUAGUUGUGGUGGAUGAAUUUUUCUAUAAAGGUAUUGUUGAACUUCUAAGAAAGGGGCAUAGAUAUAGAGGACCAGCGCUUUUGUCGGGUUGUUUGAGAUGAUUUGCUCGACUCUGCCGAGAUCUCAGUGUCUUGAUUGAGGUUGUCGCUUCGAUAGGACCAUCUGUGGUUGAUCAUCUGUCAUUCAUCCAGCUUUUUAUUUUACGGUUGGCAUCCAACUUCGGUUUUGUAACUCAAAUUGUUGCUGUAGGCAUUGUAAUCUUCUCUUCCAGUUUCUGAAAGCUCAAGCCAUCAAGAAUAACUUUACCAGCUUCUUGCGUUACAUUUGCUGUAGAUGUUUUGGCUAAGAGAUUUCCUUGUCUUGGAAGCAGUUUCUGAUUCUUUGUGCUCUGAAUGAUUUGUGCUGUUCAGUUUUUAAUUCUCACCUGAAUGAACAAUGACUACACAUUAAGAGUUCAGAAUUAGGAUUGAUUUUGGGGAAGAUGACCAACAUUUACUAGAUAGGGUAGUGGUGCACAGUUUUGCACAUUGGUACAUUAAAGUUGUUUAAAUUGCGUGGUAAAUCACGCAAAUAAUUUAUAUUCUAGUUAACCAAGUCGUGUAUA